rnacentral:rRNA from 1 species
UACGAAGGGAGCUAGCGUUGUUCGGACUCACUGGGCGUAAAGCGCACGUAGGCGGAUGUGUCAGUCAGGGGUGAAAUCCCGGAGCUCAACUUCGGAACUGCCCUUGAUACAGCACGUCUUGAGUCCGGAAGAGGUGGGUGGAAUUCCUAGUGUAGAGGUGAAAUUCGUAGAUAUUAGGAAGAACACCGGUGGCGAAGGCGGCCCACUGGUCCGGUACUGACGCUGAGGUGCGAAAGCGUGGGGAGCAAACAGG